rnacentral:lncRNA from 1 species
GUGAGUUAAAUAAGCUUUCCUCCUUUAACUUUGGGCAUUGGGUAUUUUGUCUCAGCAACAAGAAAAGUAACUAAGACAUCCCUCUACAUUUUCUCCAUGUGGCUUAAAAAGAUAUCUACUGUGGUGAUUUAACUGGGUUAUUGGGAAGACCAGUGUAUUGGUCACUUUUUCCGUAGCUGGGACAAAUCUGAUACCUACAAAGUAAGGAAAGAGAGGUUUCUUUGGCUCAUGGUUUAAGAGGAUUCAGUCCAUGGUUGAGUGGCUCCAAGGCAGAUACAAGUGAUGGAAGGGGAUGGAGGAGGAAAGCUGUUCACCCUGUAGUAAUCAGGAAAGGAAAAAGAUGGGAGGAACCAGUGAUAAGAAUAUAAGGUCACAUCCCAGUAACCCAUCUCUUCCCCUUAGCCCCCAUCUGCUAACUGCUCAUUCAGCCAUGAGUCAUGGAUGGCUUAAGUCACUGAUGAACAUAGUUCCCUUGUGAUCCAGUCACCUUCCAGAAGACCCACCUCUGAACAUGUGAGACUUCUGGGAUGGCGCAUUUUAGAUCUAAACUGUAACAACCCUGUAACAACCAGCUGUAUCUGUGAAGUGCUAUGAGACUAUGAAGGGCACAGAGAGAAGAGAACAAUACUUACACAAGUGUUCAUGAAGUAAAAUGAAGUAACACUGCACUCUACAAAGAGAAUUUCAGAAUAAAAAGCAUUAAGGAUGAAUGACUCCAUGUAGCUGGGGACGCUGUAAGGACACUAGGUGUGAGACUGGGCCUUUGUCCAGAGUUGACGGUGGGAAGACUCCAGCACAGACUCAGGAGGAGCAUCCCGAGAGAGAGGCAGUGACCACGGAAAGAGCUUCUAUGUAUUUCUCUCUUUGUGGAAGUGAACCCACAAAGGAAAGAAUCCUUUUGUAUAGCCAGGGCCUAACAUUAUCAUUAUGUAGUUGAAAAGUUCUUGAAUGAAUAAGAUAAAUGAAUAAAUGAAUGAAUAAAUGAAUCUCCAGACCAAACCUAGAGAUUUUAUGAGCAGAAUCAAAAGCGUAAUUGUUGAGGACCUUUUGUUGGAAACAUCAGUGCUAUUUUGCUAAGCUCUGAAAUGCUUAAACUAUUAUGUAAUAAAAAUGAUCCUUCUCAAAAAUGGUGAUGUUUUGGAAAAAAGUGAAGUGUGUAUUCCUUGCUGGUGGUGUUAUCAAUUGAUAAAUCCUUUCAAAGCUAUGGCUCUCUAUAGGAAAACCACAGAGAUUCAUGUCCAUUGCCUUAGAAAUCUUCUCUUUUGCAAACACUUGAACACUCUAGAAGAAGCUAAACAUAAACAUUUUCAUUAUACUCUUUUUUUUUUUUUGGUACUGGGUAUCAAACUUGGUACACUGCGCUUGUGAGGCAGGCGACGACGGCACCACUGAGCUAAAUCCUCGGCCCAUAUUACAAUCAAUUUUGACAAGAAAAAGUUAGAGAUA